GUGCUUGAUUCAGCAGCACAUAUACUAAAAUUGGAACAAUACAGAGAUGAGCAUGGCCCUGGUGCAAGAAUGAUAUGCAAACUUGUGAAGUGUUCCAUAUUUUU
ensembl:snRNA U6 U6 spliceosomal RNA